rnacentral:rRNA from 1 species
AUUGAACGCUGGCGGCAUGCCUUACACAUGCAAGUCGAACGGCAGCACGGGUGCUUGCACCUGGUGGCGAGUGGCGAACGGGUGAGUAAUACAUCGGAACAUGUCCUGUAGUGGGGGAUAGCCCGGCGAAAGCCGGAUUAAUACCGCAUACGAUCUACGGAUGAAAGCGGGGGACCUUCGGGCCUCGCGCUAUAGGGUUGGCCGAUGGCUGAUUAGCUAGUUGGUGGGGUAAAGGCCUACCAAGGCGACGAUCAGUAGCUGGUCUGAGAGGACGACCAGCCACACUGGGACUGAGACACGGCCCAGACUCCUACGGGAGGCAGCAGUGGGGAAUUUUGGACAAUAGGCGAAAGCCUGAUCCAGCAAUGCCGCGUGUGUGAAGAAGGCCUUCGGGUUGUAAAGCACUUUUGUCCGGAAAGAAAUCCUUGGCCCUAAUACGGUCGGGGGGAUGACGGUACCGGAAGAAUAAGCACCGGCUAACUACGUG